rnacentral:lncRNA from 1 species
UAUUAACAGAAAAUCAAUUAUCAUUCAUACACAAGGUUCUUUAGCAAGCUAAAAUAACUAAAUUAACCAACAUAGAAUUAAUCCUACCAAGAAUCAAACCAUAUUACCAAUUUCGUAUCCCCAAAUAGAAGUUUAAAGAAUUUAGCUCAUAACUAAGGUAAAUAACAGCAAACAAAUAAGUUCAAGUUGCUUAAUCAUGUUGACAAAACAAAAGAAACAAAUAGAAUGGUGGAAUUAUGCCUUAAUUACUCCCGGAAUUGGAUUCUAGCUUCCUUGGUCGACUUCUAGGGUUCUUCUGGCUUCUUAUUCGCAGCUGAGCACUUCUGAAUCGCCCCAGAACUUCUCCCUCUCGAUCUGUGGAAUUAUCUUUAAAUAAGCGGUCCGACUCGUCGAGUCAAGUGGUGACUCGUCGAGUCCCUCUCACAUUCCCCGUAUUGCGAUAACUAUCUGGGAUCCCGAGUCAUUAUCCUUCUGAUUCCUCGACCGGACUCGUCGAGUAGCUAUCUGACUCGACGAGUAGAAGCUUUUUUUAGUGUUUUUCCUUCUUCAUUCCACUCUCGAGCUCCUAACCGCUUCUCUUGCUUCCUUUUGCUUCCGAGCUUCAUCUUUGGACUGAAAAACAUAAUUUAACACUUUUAAGUACCUUUUGUCCAUAAUAUGCGAUAAUUUAGCUAAUAUAUGAAUAAAAAACUAUACUAAAUACACACUAAAUAUGCACAUAUCAAAAUACCCCACACUUGUCUUUUGCUUGCCCUCAAGCAAAACUGAAUUUUAACACAUUAGAAUUAUGUAUAACAACUCCAAUCUAACCCAGCCAUUAUGCCAAGACCGCAACGCAUGCAUUUGUGUCUAAAAUUUUUCCUAAAGAACCCCCCAUAUUCCAAAUACUCACAAUCCUCAUAAACAUUCGCCCACUCACCCCGAACUAUGCUCAUUUUAUGCAACCCUCCGAAUCCAUCCGCAGAAAACCUCUUUACCCUCAAGGUAUUUUUAAUUGAGCAACCCAAGCAUACAUAUUCUAGAAAAUUACAAUUUUUCGAUACCACUAUGAAAUUCUUUGAAUUCUUCACUUUCUUGAUAAUUUGAUCUUUGAUAUCUUUGAAUUCACCAACUUGUAUUGACUUUUGGCAUCUUCAACUUUUUUGGAUUUCUUGGAAUUUUGAUCUUUAGAUCUUCACUUCAUUUGCUCCAAAAUUCUUACAACUUUUCUUGUAAUUCUCUCUCUUUUUUUUUUUACAUGUAUACCUCACUUUUUUUUUCACUCAAAACCCUACAUGCUUAAGCAGGGGCGCUCAAUCUCAACCUUUAUUGGCUAAUGAUAAAAAUUUUCCUGGAUACAUUUCAGGUUUAGGCUGCUAAACAUAUUGCAUCCCUCAAGCUGAGCAAGGUCGUGUUUUUGUCUCAUGAUUUCACUAGAAUAAGGAAGCCACAAAUGCACUAGAACGUAUAUAGACUCAACUAAACAUUUGGGUUUUCAUGCAAUUAUUAACACAAUCCUAACAUGGAAUCCUAAUUUUUUUUACCAAAGUUUUCUAAUUAAGUCCUAAAUAAUACUUUUGGUAUGCAAAAUUUUUUAAAAUUGACUAUUAUGUAACCAACCCCCUACCCCACACUUAUGUGAUGCAAUGCCCUCAUUGCAUAUGAUGCAUAAAAACAUAAAAAGAAACUAAAGAGGGAAUUGGAACAAACUCCCCUGGGAUAGCAGUGGAUAGGUUGAUCACUCUCAUUUAAGCUCCAACUUCAAUCAACUUUAGACAUGGUAACAUCUCAUCCAUGCCUUGGGUGUCUCGUCUCGUGUGGGUCGCUCCAAAUACGCGGAAAUCAGUGUAAGAUCUUCAAGAAUGGAUAUGGAAGAAUAAGUGAGCAAGUGGGACAAGUAGCAGCAUCAAAUCAGCAGUCCGUCGGUAUAAAAAUUGAACGACUCGUCGAGUCUUAUGGUGGACUCGUCGAGUACCAGCGCGCCUUCUCAGAAUAUGUAGAAAUACAAGGCGACUCGUCGAGUCAGCUUAGUGCACUCGUCGAGUAGGCCACUGAACGAAAAAAACUUGGUAUUUUGCAACUGUUUUAGCCUCUAAAAACUUCUCUAACUCUUCCCCAUGUUUAGACUCAAUUGCUCAUACCCCUAAGGACCGGACUCGACACUUUGACGUUAAAGUUCCGCUUCCUUGACUCGCUUUCACUCGUGAUAACAUCCAAGCUAUAACUCUAAACCAUCCUAAGCAAGCAAUCCUAAUCCAAUCCUGAAAAAUAACUAAAGCAUACAAUCAUUAAACACAAUAAAAUCUCAAACAAGUCAUACACACCAAAUAAGAAUAAAAACAAAACAAAAAUAAAAAUUGUUUAAUUAAAACACAAAAAUCAAUCUUCGUCCUCCUCAUCAUCAUUGGCGGCUCCACUUCCUCCGGCUCCACUUCGUCUCGCACCAAUCACCUCAUCCCAAGAUGGAAUAAAUGGGUAAUUUCCACCAUCAAUAUGUGGGAUAUUGAAGUGGUCAAAAAGUCGUAUAUGGGAUUGGUUGCUAAAGUUCAGCGCCCUCGCCAUUUGAUCCUGCAUCCGCCUCAUCUCUACAUUGUACCAAUCCAUUGGUACGUCUUCAUUCUCGACCGGAAUCACUGGCGGCUCGUCCUCCACAUCCCGUUCUCUUCUUGAUCUCACCCUCCUUCCCGGUGCUUCGGGACCAACAACGGGGUCAUCAUUUGGAAUGGCAUAAUGGCCACCACCAUAGUCUUCAAUUAUCCGUGCUCUUCGGAAAAGAAUGGGAUUAAACGGGGGCGUCGGGAUCAAUGUCAUGAAGUUCCAGGCACCGCGGUUCAUCAACCCGAAUGAAUUAGCCAAUCGAGUGACAAACAUCCCACCAUUUAUUCUUGAAGUCUUGCGAUCUUUGACCGCACCCUCCGAAAGAUAUGAAGCAAUACACCAAGGGAUGUUGCAAAAGACGCCGGGUGUAAUGAUGCUCCAUAGGAAAAAGACAUCAAGGUUGGAAACCUUGUCAUCAUCCUUUCGUUGGUUGAUGGUGGAUGAAAUGAGGCGGUGUAUUAAGCGGUGUAUUGGGGAUCGAAUGCUCCCUUCUUGCGCCGACUUCGGAAUGUAAAUUUUAUUGCCAAUGAUAUUCCACUAGCCCGCACUUGUAAUUCCUUCGGGAAAUGCCAUAUGGGUUUGUGCUAUGAAGGCCCGAAAGAUUGGUGUCGAGACCAAGGGCUGGUCAUAAACCCCCAAUCGGCAUGCAAGAUCCACCACUGAGCAUUGAUGGAACUCUCCCCCAAGGCAGAAACUGAAGCUCGUCGGGUGAAAAACAUCUACUCCCCCGGUAAAAGAUACCGUGGAAAAGAAUUCUAAACAUAGCUCCAAAUAAACCGGUUCUUGAAUACGGAAGACCCGGCUCCACCCGUCACACACCAUAGUUUCGCCAUUAUAAUGAAACUCCUUUAAAAGAUAAGGAGCGAGUUCCUCCUCAUAACGCACACUUUGCAACCAUUCCCAGUCGAUCCGGUUGGGCACAUAGACCUCCUUCUUCUUAAUAUCAGCCAACUUCUUCUUCCAUUUCCGCAUUGUUGAAGCGGACUCAAUUUGCGGGAAAUUUAACCACGGAAAAUCGCCUUGGUUGCCACUGGAAGUUUGCCCCCUUCUGAACAUGAUUUCUGCAAAACAUAUAAACAAAAACCCAGAAAACACAGAAUAUAAUUAAAAACUGGAUUGUAUCUGUAAAUCGACUGGACUCGUCGAGUCCAUGCCCGACUCGGCGAGUCGCGCAACCUGCACGAGUCAGUCGACGGGUCGCAUGAAAUUGGACCAUAAAACCUGUAAUUUCUGUCAAGGGUUUUGUUCAGGGACUUCCUACUAAGUAAUAAGGCCAAAAUAACCGUUCAAAACAACAAUACUCAUGAAAAAUCAAAACCCUAGAAUUUCAUUACUUUUCAAAAACGGCUUUUUUCAUGCAAUUGCAGGUAUAGAUAGCCUUAUAAUCACAUUCUUUCUAGAAAUCAAGAGGAAAGUUGUGCUUAACCCUUCUCCAAAUUUGACCGCAUCAAGGCAUGCCACAUUGGCGUGUUGGACCUCUAUUCCCUUUACUUCUUCUGCCAAUUGUUCUUCCAAAGAAUCCAAAACAGUAACUGAACCCAGGAUAUGUGAAGAACUAUCAAUAAAUAGAUCAGUUUUGGUCAGGUUUUUAUCCAAAUCGACUGGACUCGUCGAGUCCAUUAUGACGACUCGGCGAGUCGGAUCGGAUUCGAUUAAUCUUGGAGUGUUUUCUGAGUUGGCUCCUUCCAGUAGCUUUUCUAGCUCCUCCAAGUCCUUGUUAGCAUCUUCAACUCCUUCAGAGUAUAGUGUGAACUUACUUGGGUCUUCUUUUAGUAAAAUUUCAAGCUCUUUUUGUAAUACCUCAUCAUCCAAUUGGAUAAAUGAGAUUUCUUCUCUCUUUUCUUCUUCUUGCUUGACUUCUGGAAUAGCUUUAAACAUCACCGACUCAUCCCCCACUCUUAAUGUCAAUGUAGACUCACAUAUGUCAAUUAGGGCACACGCGGUGUUUAAGAAUGAUCUUCCCAAAAUAAUUGGUAUUUCGGGGUCUUCUUCCAUUUCCACCACCACGAAGUCUACUGGAAAAAUAAACUUGUCCACUUUGAUAAGGAGGUUUUCACAAAUGCCUUGUGGAUUAAUUAUCGUUUUGUUUGCCAAAUGGAUUCUCAUAUUUACCGGCCUUGGUGCUGGUAAAUUUAGCUUCUUAAAGAAUGAGUAGGGCAUCAAAUUAAUGCUUGCACCUGAAUCAGCCAAUGCUCGUGUAGAAACUUCAUUACCAAAUUGGCAUGGAAUUACUAUGUUACCCGGAUCACCCUUCUUCUCAGGCAGCUCACUCAUCAAUAUCUCUGCGACUUCAGCCAAAUCCUUCCUAGCAGCAAAAAGGCCUUUAAGCAAGUUAAAGUAUUUAGGAGUUUGGAGCAUUGUUUCCACAAAUGGCAUAUUGACUUGUAAAGCUUUAACAUGCUCCAUGAAGGUUCUAUAGGCUUGAAUUUUUUCUGCAGGCAUGGCUCUGGUUGGGUAUGGCAAAGGAGGGUUGUAUGGCUUUAGGAAACUGACAGUAUCUUCAUUCCCGACUAGACUCGUCGAGUCCAUGAGAGUGACUCGGCGAGUCUGGUCGGGUUUUUCUGGUUCUGGUUUUUCUUCCUUCCCUGCCUUCUUCUUGGAGACUCUUAGUGUUUCUGUAAAUUCUUCUUCACUGCUGGAGGUUAUUACGCUCACGUUCUCCUUUCUUGGAUUGGGCUCGGUGUUGCUCGGAAGUUGACCCGGUCUUCUUUCAUUCACUUGAUGUGCAAGCUGUCCCAGCUGUUUCUCAAUGUUGAGAAUGGAAGCUUGCUGAUUCCUCAACAUGUUUCUGGUUUCUUGCAUUGCUACAUCGUGAUCAUUAUGUCUUUUCUCGGACGCGGUUAUGAACCUUGUGAGUAUAUCUUCUAAAUUUGCCUUCUUUUCCGUCACCGGCUCUUCCUUUUGAUAGAAUCCCCUCUCCCUCUGUUUGUAUUUCUCCUCCUUAGCCUUUUUAUACUCUUCGUAUGGGAGCCAUUCCUUCUUUGGUUUCCUCCAGUCUUCAUCGUAUCUAUCGCCACUGGAAUAAAAUACUUGAGCCUUUUUAUUUCCAUUCUCGUCUCGAUCACAAUCCUUGGUAAGAUGGGGGCCGCCACAAUUUUCGCAUCCUACCCUAAUAGCAUGGAUCGUUUGAUCCAUUUUCGUCAUUCUUCGGUCUAGGCUAUCGAGUUUAGCUAUUACCGCCGCCAUGCCAUCGUUCACCGAGUUUACUGCUCCACGACUCACUUCAUUCCUCGGAUUGUGGUAUUCUCUAGAAUGCUUAGAGAAUUCUUCAAUUAAUUCCUUUAUUUCCGGAGGUGGCUUUCGGGUGAGCGGGCCUUGUGAAUCGAGUAGUUGCCUUGUGGUGACAUUAACUCCAUCAUAAAAGAUGGAGACCUCUUGUUGGCUAUUAAGAUCAUGGUGUGGGCAAUUUCUAAGUAGGCUCUUGUACCUUUCCCAAGCUUCAUAAAGAGAUUCUCCGGGUUGUUGCUCGAAGUUGGCAAUGGCUUUCUUUAGCUUGGCUAUCUUGGAAGGUGGGCAGAAAUGGUCAAUGAACUCUUCUUUCAUCUUGGCCCAUGUGGUGACCGAUCCGGGAGGAAGUGAUUUUAACCAAUCUUUCGCAGCGCCUUUAAACGUGACAGGGAGCAUUCGAAGAAGCUGGGUCUCGCGUGGAACAUUAGGCACGUUGAAGUAGUCGGCCACAUCAUUUACUUCGUCCAAAUGCUUGUAAGCGUCUUCAUGAUCUCUCCCGUAAAAAGGGAUCUCCUUGAGUUGAGCGAGAAUAUGGCCCUUUAGCUCAAACGUAGCGGUUGCGGGAAUUGCGGGUUGCACAAGUCCCGGCCCGGUGUCAUCACGCAUCCUUUUCUUCCACUCCCCCAUGGGGACUUCAUCGAUGUUAGCCAUAGUGAUAGCUAACUCUUCUUCGGAAUCGGUUUCGUGCUCGGAAAUAUGCUCUUCUUCUUCCUCGGUCUCGUACUCGAUAUCUUCGUGAAUUGGUUCUUCAAUUGUUAAUGAGGCACUGGAUGCUCCUGAUUUGCUGCCUUUCUUCUUGCUGAAAACGGAUUUCAAGUUCUUGAGUGGUGAGUUCUUUGAAGUUGCGGUUUCUCCUACGGCUUUUCCCUUGCUUCUCUUUAGUGCGGAUUCCGGGUCUUCCAAAGGUGGUACUAGAGGUGUGUCCGAUCCUCGGGUCAUGAAACAGCUGAAAAAAAACGAAACAAAAGAAACGAAACGCGUAAAAGGAAUAAAAACGAAAUAAAAAAUAAAGACUAAAACAGCGAUGGACUCGCCGAGUCUGCUCGAAUGCACUCGGCGAGUUCAAGGCAAAAACAGAAAAUAAAAAUUUCUUGUUAUUCUAAAAACGAAAUUUUAUUAAAACUAAAUCUACUUACUGAUUUGCUUUGUAAAUAACUUUGUGUAAGAUAAAUCCCACACAAAGGAUCGAUUAAACUAGAUUUUACUAUUAAUUUUAGAACCGUUCCCCGGCAACGGCGCCAAAAACUUGAUGUGUGUAAAACCCACUAGUUUUAAACCUACUUUUAAUUAUCAAAUAACACACAAAAGGCAGUGAACCUAUCAAUUGUGGUAUAGCUAAAUAAGCAGGGUAUCGAACACAGGGAACGGCAAAUUAAACUAAAAACUAAUUUAAUCUAAGUUAAUUAAAAAGCAGGGGUUGUUCUCUAGUUUUACAAGACUAGAAACUUACUAAUUAUUACUAAUUUAAGCUAGAAAAUAAAGACUUUGACUAGAUUCAAUAACGGAGAAGUACUUCUAUUUAGUUCAACUUAAUUGAUCCUAUGGUUGAUUUCAAGGUAAAAGUGCAAUGGAUUAAUUCUUUUGCUAGUUACCGAUUCAAUUGAUUAGUUCCGUAUUCACUUCAUUAAUCCUUAGCAAAUAAAUCAAUUUAAACAAUGGCCAGUUGUCUAUUUCAAUUAAAUUUACUAGAUAUAAUAUUCGGGUUAAGUUAGACUUGCAAUAGCUAAUUAAUUUAUCUUUUAAUUAACUUCUUGUUUAAUGGUCAUCUCACAAGCUUGCACAUAAAUUUACUUGAUUUUCUUAUUAAUCCUAGUUUCAUGUUCAUUACACUAGACAUAUGACAAAAAGUGUUCACUAAGCAUAUGAGAUUGAUAACUAAUAGAUGUUCAUGCUAAUUAAUUAUCUCCCUAUUAACAGAAAAUCAAUUAUCAUUCAUACACAAGGUUCUUUAGCAAGCUAAAAUAACUAAAUUAACCAACAUAGAAUUAAUCCUACCAAGAAUCAAACCAUAUUACCAAUUUCGUAUCCCUAAAUAGAAGUUUAAAGAAUUUAGUUCAUAACUAAGGUAAAUAACAGCAAACAAAUAAGUUCAAGUUGCUUAAUCAUGUUGACAAAACAAAAGAAAUAAGUAGAAUGGUGGAAUUAUGCCUUAAUUACUUCCGGAAUUGGAUUCUAGCUUCCUUGAUCGACUUCUAGGGUUCUUCUGGCUUCUUAUUCGCAGCUAAGCACUUCUGAAUCGUCCCAGAACUCCCUUCUCUCGAUCUGUGGAAUUAUCUUUAAAUAAGCGGUCCGAGUCGUCGAGUCAAGUGGUGACUCGUCGAGUCCCUCUCACAUUCUACGUAUUGCGAUAACUAUCUGGGAUCCCGAGUCAUUAUCCUUCUGAUUCCUCGACCGGACUCGUCGAGUAGAUGUAUGACUCGACGAGUAGAAGCUUCUUUUUCAGUGUUUUCCUUCUUCAUUCCACUCUCAAUCUUCUAACCGCUUCUCUUGCUUCCUUUUACUUCCGAGCUUCAUCUUUGGACUGAAAAACAUAAUUUAACACUUUUAAGUACCUUUUGUCCAUAAUAUGCGAUAAUUUAGCCAAUAUAUGAAUAAAAAACUAUACUAAAUUCACACUAAAUAUGCACAUAUCACAGGCAAUUCAGUGUUCGGCCAGUUUUAGCGUUUGGACAGUGUUAGUAUUUGGAUUUUAGGUUGCAAGUACGGACGGAAUAACAGAUUGCUUAGGUUAUGUUUAAUGGUCUGUAGGGAUAAUUGGUUUUGUGAUCAUGUUUGUAAUGGGAACCUCGAGUUAUCAGAAGUUGAGUAGACUGGUGAGGGAUAUGUGGACCAGUUUCAACAAUAAGGAUUUUGUAUGAGCGGUCUGUCGGGGAGUUAGACCACCUCGAGACUGCAUAUUUC